GGUUGCAUGGGGUAGAGGUUAUCCCUCCAGAUUUUGACUUUGUCAUGUAUAUCUUCUGGCGACCCCGGUUCGAUCCCGGGUGCGACCU